rnacentral:rRNA from 1 species
UGAACACGAAGUGCUACGGCACUGAAGUAGUCUAUGCCAUGCUUCCAAGAAAAGCUCGAAAUAUCUUAAAUAGUAAACGCCUGUACCUUAAACCGACACAGGUAGGUAGGUAGAGUAUACCAAGGGGCGCGAGAUAACUCUCUCUAAGGAACUCGGCAAAAUAACCUCGUAACUUCGGAAGAAGAGGUACCCUUGCAAAAGGGUUGCAAUAACCAGACCCUGGCGACUGUUUACCAAAAACACAGGUCUCCGCUAAUUCGUAAGAUCAAGUAUGGAGGCUGACGCCUGCCCAGUGCCGGAAGGUUAAAGAAGUUGGUCAAUCCUCGGAUGAAGCUGGCGACUGAAGCCCCGGUGAACGGCGGCCGUAACAAUAACGGUCCUAAGGUAGCGAAGUUCCUUGUCGGGUAAGUUCCGACCCGCACGAAAGGCGUAACGAUCAGGGUGCUGUCUCGGAGAGAGGCUCGGCGAAAUAGACAUGUCUGUGAAGAUGCGGACUACCUGCACCUGGACAGAAAGACCCUAUGAAGCUUUACUGUAUCUUGGAAUUGGGUUUGGGCCUUGCUUGCGCAGGAUAGGUGGGAGGCUUUGAGAAUAUUCUUGCGGGAAUGUUGGAGCCAACGGUGAGAUACCACUCUAGUAAGGCUAAAAUUCUAACUUUGUACCGUUAUCCGGUCAGAGAACAGUUUCAGGUGGGCAGUUUGACUGGGCGGUCGCCUCCUAAAAGGUAACGGAGGCGCGCAAAGGUUCCCUCAGGCUGGUUGGACAUCAGUCGUAGAGUGUAAAGGCAUAAGGGAGCUUGACUGCGAGACCCACAAGUCGAGCAGAGACGAAAGUCGGCCUUAGUGAUCCGACGGUUCCACGUGGAAGGGCCGUCGCUCAACGGAUAAAAGUUACUCUAAGGAUAACAGGCUGAUCUCCCCCAAGAGUUCACAUCGACGGGGAGGUUUGGCACCUCGAUGUCGGCUCAUCGCAUCCUGGGGCGGUAGUACGUCCCAAGGGUUGGGCUGUUCGCCCAUGAAAGCGGUACGCGAGCUGGGUUCAGAACGUCGUGAGACAGUUCGGUCCAUAUCCGGUGCAGGCGCUAGAGCAUUGAAAGGAGUCCCCCUUAGUACGAGAGGACCGGGGGGAAUACACCUCUGGUGUACCAGUUAUCGUGCCAACGGUAAACGCUGGGUAGCCAUGUGUAGCGCGGAUAACUGCUGAAAGCAUCUAAGUAGGAAGCCCACCUUAAGAUGAGUGCUCUCACCGCUAUAAGCGGGUAAGGUCACGGUAAGAACAACCGUUAUAUAGGCAUUAAGUAUACGCGCAGUAAUGCGUUUAGCUGAGAUGUACUAACAGACCGAGGGCUUGAU